UCAACAAACAACUACACCAAUCAUGCAUUUUAUAUAUAUAUAGUUGCCUGCUUCUUACAACCCAUAAUUUUUGUUCCUGUCUCACUUUCCUACUCAAACACAUCCCUUUCUAGCUCUUCUUCUUUCCCUUCCCUUGUGUAAGGUUUUCAAAUGGCGGACUUCAAGCAUGGUGAAGACGACCACGAGGGAAAAGCAGCGGCCAAGAAAUAUGGAGGCCUGGUACCAAAGAAGCCGCCCUUAAUCUCAAAGGACCAUGAACGUGCUUUCUUUGAUUCCGCAGACUGGGCUCUAUGUAAGAGAACACCACACCCUCAGUUACCUCCAAGAAGACCUGCUUGCACUUCUGGUGGAGAUAACACUGUGCAGUAGAUCUGAAGCAAAUAAUUUGAUGAAGUAUGCUUUUUUUUUUUUUUAGUGAUGAAAUUUGAUACAUUGCUAUGAUCACUACUAUCUUUUAAUAAUAAUAAAAAUAAAUGUCUUCAAUUUAAGGUUAAAA